ensembl:lncRNA
GGGGAAUAACAUUUUUAUUAAUAAAACUGUAACUGGUUAUCAAUAUAAAUAUCAUAGAUAUUAAACAUUAAUUUAGAGAACAAAAGCAAAGCACUCAAAGGAUCCAAGAUCUCCAGGGAAAAAGGAAGUUGUAUUUUUUAGGGUAGGCUAAGCUACUUUAGCAAGAGACCCAGUGAUAAAGAAUAUAAAUACAGAAGUUUCUCUCCCAACUAGUGGUUCCAAGGUCAGCAUUGCAGGCUAGCAGCCCUUGUUCACACAGUUACUCAGGGACUUUGGCUGAGGAUGGUGCUGCCAUUUUAAAUCAUGGCUUUCAAGUCACUCUAGUGAUUACUCAUCUAAUUUGCAGGAAAAGAGCAUGGAAGUGUACAUAUGCAAGGUUUUAUGGGCUGUGCCUGGAAAUGGUUCAUAUAUCUUCUUAUAUUCCAGUGGUGUGGAGACUUAGUUACAUCUAGAUACAAGAGGAGCUGAGAAAUGUAGUCCAUGGCUGGGAAGCCAUAUUCCAGCUAUAAAUACAAGAUUUUGGUGGCCACUAGCAGCCUCAGCCACAGCUCUUCUUGUGCUGCUAAGUAUCUUCCCUUACAUAGAGAGUAAUCCCUCUUCAUCCAGCUAGUGAUUCAGCUCACAAUCUCUAUUAAAAGUCCAUCCCUUUAGAUGUGGCUUCUAACAGUCUGACAAUCUCUAAACUGAUAGACAAAUUAUUUGCUCUCACCCUUACUGCUGCCCAUUUAUAAUGUAGUGGGGACAGGAUGGCCAAAUAAAAAGUCUCAAUUUGGAAAAUGGAAUAAAGGGAAACAUGCAAAAAUUGUGGAAUGCUCCUGGGAGAUGUAUGAAGAUUUUGUCCCUAGUAGUGGAGAAGUACUUUGAUUCGACUGUGAUUCUGAUCUCUGGCAGGGGACUCCCUUGUUCGUUGAACUCCAUGGUUUCCCCUCUGGAAAUUUACUCCCUAUCCAUUUUCUAUGGCUACCUGGGAAGUAGAGGUUGGGUGUUCACUCCCUGGGAAUUGUGAAGACAGUCCACUUCCUGCUGGUGUGAACUUGGUGCCCAUUUUAAGGCCAAGCUCAUGUUUCUUGGGAAUAUGAGUCUCUUAAAAACUCAUAUGCCACGGAACCACAACCAAGCUUUUGACCAAAUUCUCAAAGUAUGUAUUAUUUUUGCCUUUCUUUAAUGGAGGCUAUCUCCUAUAAGAAGAUAGGAGGCUAUCUUAUUAUCCCUGAAAAUAAGAUUGCACUGGGAAUGUUACAUGCAGAUCAUCACUGCAAGGCUGGGUUCCUCUGGCUUAACAAUUGGUAGAGAAGUCUUCAUGGGCUUUCCCCCAAUCUCCCACACCUCAAAAAUAAUUUUGAACCUUUGCUACUAUUCAGACUUCAGAAACAAUUGGCUUACUUUUGUGAGGUUCCUUGUAUCUGAACUUGGUCUAUUCCCUUCCAUCUCUGCAUGAAAAUGUCAAAAUUUUUUGAUACCUUGCUGAAUGCAAGGAAUAGCCAAUUCAUUUAACAUUCUGUCUUUUUCCAACUAGAGCUAUCAGCUUAGUAGGUGUCAAAAUAUAUCCCCACUGCUUGUCAUGUUAAUGGUAAGCUAAUGCUAUAUACUUAGUUUUUGCUAUGCAAUACUUCAGGAUAAUUUCUUCAUUAGAAAUAUAAGUGGUACACAGUGUGCACAGGGACUGUGUCCAGCUUCUGGAAAAGACUCGACCAAAUUUUAGACAGGCUCCUUUGAGCCUUCUUUUUCACUAGUCCAGUUUUAGCAGAAAUCCUGCUAAAUCAGUUUAGAGAGAAUCCCAUCCUCAGUAACAUGAUCAUCAACCUGGACUGUCUCUGGCAAGAAUCAUCCUACUCUUGAUGUCUCCACUUAGUAAUUUUCCAUACACUGACCUCAUCACUGCUCAUUGACUAUAAAUCCUCAGCUGUAUUUGCUGUGUUAGUUGAGCCCGGUUUCUUUCCCUUAUUGGAUGAUGGUCUGAACACAUACAGUCCUGAGUAGUCUUCUUUACUGCUUUAACAAGUGUCAGAAUGGUUUUUUCUUUAGUACCUCCUAGCUUACAUGCUGGUAGAAUAAUAUUUGGUAGGGAAAAAUCAGCAUACUCCUU